GAGUUUGAUCCUGGCUCAGAACGAACGCUGGCGGCAGGCCUAACACAUGCAAGUCGAACGCUCGUAGCAAUACGAGAGUGGCAGACGGGUGAGUAACACGUGGGAACCUUCCCUAUGGUUCGGAAUAGCUCAGGGAAACUUGAGGUAAUACCGGAUAAGCCCUUACGGGGAAAGAUUUAUCGCCAUUGGAUGGGCCCGCGUCGGAUUAGCUAGUUGGUGAGGUAACGGCUCACCAAGGCGACGAUCCGUAGCUGGUCUGAGAGGAUGAUCAGCCACACUGAGACUGAGACACGGCCCAGACUCCUACGGGAGGCAGCAGUGGGGAAUAUUGGACAAUGGGCGCAAGCCUGAUCCAGCCAUGCCGCGUGAGUGACGAAGGCCUUAGGGUUGUAAAGCUCUUUUGGCGGGGAAGAUAAUGACGGUACCCGCAGAAUAAGCUCCGGCUAACUUCGUGCCAGCAGCCGCGGUACGC
rnacentral:rRNA from 1 species